GGUUAAGCGACUAAGCGUACACGGUGGAUGCCCUGGCAGUCAGAGGCGAUGAAGGACGUGCUAAUCUGCGAUAAGCGUCGGUAAGGUGAUAUGAACCGUUAUAACCGGCGAUUUCCGAAUGGGGAAACCCAGUGUGUUUCGACACACUAUCAUUAACUGAAUCCAUAGGUUAAUGAGGCGAACCGGGGGAACUGAAACAUCUAAGUACCCCGAGGAAAAGAAAUCAACCGAGAUUCCCCCAGUAGCGGCGAGCGAACGGGGAGCAGCCCAGAGCCUGAAUCAGUGUGUGUGUUAGUGGAAGCGUCUGGAAAGGCGCGCGAUACAGGGUGACAGCCCCGUACACAAAAAUGCACAUACUGUGAGCUCGAUGAGUAGGGCGGGACACGUGGUAUCCUGUCUGAAUAUGGGGGGACCAUCCUCCAAGGCUAAAUACUCCUGACUGACCGAUAGUGAACCAGUACCGUGAGGGAAAGGCGAAAAGAACCCCGGCGAGGGGAGUGAAAAAGAACCUGAAACCGUGUACGUACAAGCAGUGGGAGCACAGAGCAAUCUGUGUGACUGCGUACCUUUUGUAUAAUGGGUCAGCGACUUAUAUUCUGUAGCAAGGUUAACCGAAUAGGGGAGCCGAAGGGAAACCGAGUCUUAACUGGGCGUUAAGUUGCAGGGUAUAGACCCGAAACCCGGUGAUCUAGCCAUGGGCAGGUUGAAGGUUGGGUAACACUAACUGGAGGACCGAACCGACUAAUGUUGAAAAAUUAGCGGAUGACUUGUGGCUGGGGGUGAAAGGCCAAUCAAACCGGGAGAUAGCUGGUUCUCCCCGAAAGCUAUUUAGGUAGCGCCUCGUGAAUUCAUCUCCGGGGGUAGAGCACUGUUUCGGCAAGGGGGUCAUCCCGACUUACCAACCCGAUGCAAACUGCGAAUACCGGAGAAUGUUAUCACGGGAGACACACGGCGGGUGCUAACGUCCGUCGUGAAGAGGGAAACAACCCAGACCGCCAGCUAAGGUCCCAAAGUCAUGGUUAAGUGGGAAACGAUGUGGGAAGGCCCAGACAGCCAGGAUGUUGGCUUAGAAGCAGCCAUCAUUUAAAGAAAGCGUAAUAGCUCACUGGUCGAGUCGGCCUGCGCGGAAGAUGUAACGGGGCUAAACCAUGCACCGAAGCUGCGGCAGCGACGCUUAUGCGUUGUUGGGUAGGGGAGCGUUCUGUAAGCCUGUGAAGGUGUACUGUGAGG
rnacentral:rRNA from 1 species